rnacentral:rRNA from 1 species
GAUGAACGCUGGCGGCGUGCCUAAUACAUGCAAGUCGAGCGAACGGACGAGAAGCUUGCUUCUCUGAUGUUAGCGGCGGACGGGUGAGUAACACGUGGAUAACCUACCUAUAAGACUGGGAUUACUUCGGGAAACCGGAGCUAAUACCGGAUAAUAUUCUGAACCGCAUGGUUCAAAAGUGAAAGACGGUCUUGCUGUCACUGAUAGAUGGAUCCGCGCUGCAUUAGCUAGUUGGUAAGGUAACGGCUUACCAAGGCAACGAUGCAUAGCCGACCUGAGAGGGUGAUCGGCCACACUGGAACUGAGACACGGUCCAGACUCCUACGGGAGGCAGCAGUAGGGAAUCUUCCGCAAUGGGCGAAAGCCUGACGGAGCAACGCCGCGUGAGUGAUGAAGGUCUUCGGAUCGUAAAACUCUGUUAUUAGGGAAGAACAUAUGUGUAAGUAACUGUGCACAUCUUGACGGUACCUAAUCAGAAAGCCACGGCUAACUACGUG